rnacentral:rRNA from 1 species
UACGUAGGGUGCGAGCGUUGUCCGGAAUUACUGGGCGUAAAGAGUUCGUAGGCGGUUUGUCGCGUCGUUCGUGAAAACUUGGGGCUUAACUCCAAGCAUGCGGGCGAUACGGGCAGACUUGAGUACUACAGGGGAGACUGGAAUUCCUGGUGUAGCGGUGAAAUGCGCAGAUAUCAGGAGGAACACCGGUGGCGAAGGCGGGUCUCUGGGUAGUAACUGACGCUGAGGAACGAAAGCGUGGGUAGCGAACAGG